UACGUAGGGUGCAAGCGUUAUUCGGAAUUACUGGGCGUAAAGCGUGCGCAGGCGGUUUUGUAAGACAGCUGUGAAAACCCCGGGCUCAACCUGGGAACUGCAUCUGUGACUGCAUAGCUAGAGUACGGUAGAGGGGGAUGGAAUUCCGCGUGUAGCAGUGAAAUGCGUAGAUAUGCGGAGGAACACCGAUGGCGAAGGCAAUCCCCUGGACCUGUACUGACGCUCAUGCACGAAAGCGUGGGGAGCAAACAGG
rnacentral:rRNA from 1 species